rnacentral:lncRNA from 1 species
GGGCUGCACUAGGGGCUUGGGUGACAGCGGGGAAGGGAGACCCAGAGUUACUCACUAAAGACAUUUAUUAAUUGAAUUCUCUUGAAGGAAGAAUGGCCCUUGGGCCUUCUGGAGGAUGUGGCCUUGCUUGAUGUUUGCCUCGGUUCGGAUUGCCUCUGUGGGAAGCCCUCUGGGAUCUCGUCCAGGGAAAGGGAAGGAGAGAGAGGAGAGGAAGAGGGAAGCCUGGGUGCAGAUUCCUUUGGAGUUUGUGCUGGGCCUUUAAAAAUAGCAAGAUGGGAGUUCCUGUCAUGGCUCAGUGAUAACGAAUCCAACUAGGAUCCGUGAGGACGUGGCCUCGCUCAGUGGGUUAAGGAUCCUGCGUUGCCAUGAGCUGUGAUGUAGGUCACAGAUGCGGCUCAGAUCCUGUGGUUUUGUGGCUGUGGUGUAGGCCAGCAGCUACAGCUCCGACUGGACCCCUAGCCUAGGAACGUCCAUAUGCCGCAAGUGCAGCCCUAAAAGAACAAAAACAAACAAAAAACCCCAGCAAGAGGGGCAUCGUGUUCCGUCGUGGUGAGUUGGCACCUUGCCUUGGUUCUGUUCCCCGAGUCUCCUUCAUUCCUGAUGUAAAGCAGGGGUUAAUAAUGAAAGUGGUGGGAAUGCUUUCAGAAAAUAGCUCAUUAGAAGCCUGGCUUGCAUGGCCAUCUGCCAGAACUUUGCCAGGGAAGCUGUUGCUGGGAGCAAGCGUGUUCUUCCCUGUGGAUGCUGAACUUUUACGUAUCUCAGACAUAUUAGUUGAUGACCGCUGCCUGGGUCUUUGAGCAUGUUGUGUAUCUUUGGAACUGGUCACAAGUGGGAGGCCACGGCUGCAGGGAGGGCUCUGGAAAGAAGGACCCACAAGGAGCCCGUGGGGCCACCGAGGCAGGUCUGGAGGAGGCUGGACCCGAUUCCAGGCAGUGGCCCCGUAUUUGCCGCUGAUAGAAUGCACAUGUUCCCGAGCCUCCUGGGAGAGGUGCUCCAGAAAUCCUUCACAGUCACUGGAGACAGCCUAAAAAUAGAGCCAAGAGCAGCUGGCGGGUCCCAGAAGGUUGGGCCUUCAACUCAGCUUGGGCCUUUCGCUAGGGAUGUGGUGUCUCUGGAGCAAGGCCUUGUGCUGCCUGAAGCCCAGUGCCCUUGGCCUUGGCAAGGGGCCUAUGACCAGUAGCCUCCAUCCAGCCAGAUCUACUUUGCUCAGGCAGCGAGGAAAGGAAGGGGUAUUGCCUGGGCGCAGGCGGGAAUGGGCACUGCCUUUCUGCCCCUGGAACUGCUCACUGCCCGUCACACCAUCGAAACACCCUGGGUUGAAGCCUCGGUGAAGGGAAAGGUGCCGUGCGGUCCAGCAGGGGUGCCAGUUUUGACCUUGGCCUUGACCUUGGUCAGUUUGUACUUCCCUGAGCAAGAUUUGUUGGGGUUAGGCUUUAGGGCAGUGUUUUUCAAAGUGUGGUUCCUAGACCAGCUUAAGUAGAAUCACCCAGUGUUUGUCGAAAAUCCCGGGCCUUAGCCCGGAGCCGCUGAAUCAGAAUCUUGGGGGAGUGGACCCAUGGUUCUUCUGAUAAGUUCUGCAGGUGACUCAUGCCUACAGGCGUUUAAAAGCAGCUGGUUUCCAGCUUCCUCAGUGUAAUGCUGAUCCGCUCCUCUGCCCCGUGAUUAUUCGAAAGAAUCAUCCACCAAUCUGUCCAUCUACCUUUCUGUGCAUCCGUGUCUCUCCAUCUAUCCGUCUGUCCAUCGGGCUGUCAUCUACACUUUGCCAGCUGUCGUCGAGACGAGAGAUCCUUGGCUGCUGGCUGUUGAACAGACAGAAUGUUUCUGGCUCCCAAAUAGAGCCCAGGUCAGCCAGCCCCCAGCCUGCUCACCUGAGUGAGCAGCCUCAGGUGGGCCAGCCUGCUAGGCCUCACUGUCGUGGUUCUUGAGUUACCCUUCCAGUGGUUUGCUGCAGCCCUGAGCACAGGCUCUAAGAUGGCCCAGCGUGUCACACUGGGACCUUCAGAAGUCAAGCUACUGGGUGCUGGAGCCCUGGACCUGUCCUGUGGCUCCAGGGUGUAUAACAAGGCCCGGGGAUGGCUCGCAGCUUGCAGGCUUUGUGCACAGCUGACUGGAGUGCAGGCUUUCUGCAGCAUAGACAUUGCACAUUGGCUGGAUGCCAGUUCAGCACAGUCCAGCACUUAGCUCAUAGUGAUCUAAGCAGAACACCCACAAAACACAUGUAUUUGCAGAACUGCCUGUCCAGCGACACAGGGUGCACACUCGGGCUGGGUCCCCUGUCUCUUCCUCUUGUCCCCACUUUACAGAGGGCCCAGCGAAGACCAAGCAUGUUCCCCAUUCCAUGGCUGGUCGACACUUUGUCCACGUCCAGCCUCUGCAGCUCUGUUCCCACUCUGCCCUAGUACCUCUCUCUGUGGAGGAGUCAAGAUCCUGGGUAAGCCUUUGAACACUGCAUUUAAUGAUCAAGGCAACCUUUAUAUCCUGGAUGAUUAGUGCACCAAAGGGACGUCUCUGGUACUGAGGUUAGAGAAGCAGCAGCAGCAGCCGGAUGUAGUGCGAGUUAAGUAUUGCGUCUUUCCACGUGUCCUAUACUUAUUCCGGCUCGCAGUGCUUUCAGGUCUCUUCCCCUGUGUGUUUGCUUUGAUGCCCUCCUCCAAUAACACACAGCAAAGCCACAUUCCAUUGCUGACCUGGAGGGUCUCCCUUUUGACCAAAGUUUGACUAAAGAACUUGGAAGCACGUCUUACACACCCAGCAAGGGCUUCUCACCUGCUCAGACUUCGGUCCCUUAACUUCUGCAUUCACUUGUGUCCUCCUAAGCAUCCAGACAGAUGGGCUCUACAGUGAUGCUGUUUCUUGGGGUUCCUGCUGGGGUGCAAUGGGAUCAGAGCACUGGGACGCCAGUUGCACCCCCAGCUGGAUCCAGCAUUGCCACAGCUGCGGUGCAGGUCAAAACUGUGGCUUGGAUCUGAUCCCUGGCCUGGGAAUUCCAUAUACCUCUGGGCAGCCAAAAAAAAAAAAAAAAAAAAAAAAAAACCAACAACAACAAAAAAAGAUGCUGUUUUUGACCAUCUUCUUCUGCUUUUCUGGUUUUCCUGUUUUGAUUUAUCUAGCUCACUGCUGGCUGUCUGUCUCUGGGCACCAUCUCACUUUUAUGGGGAUUGCUCAGGCCACCGAACAAGCCGCACACACAGAGCCGGGUUACAAUCCCGCCCAGCUUUCCCGUCCCUCUGACCCAGACAGCGAGUGUGAGUGCACGAGAACGCCCGUGGCUCCCACUUCUUUUCAGACCUGAAGUAGCCUGUCCCUGGAUGUCCCAGGACAGGGAACCAGAGGUCAGCAUGUGCUCAGCGCCUGUCAACUGUGGGACAGAGGAAGGCUGACAAAAGUGCUGAGCAGCCGAGUUGAAACCGUCCUUAAUCUGCUUGGCCAAUUGACCGUGAUCUUGCUAUAAGGCGGGCAGAGGAGCCCCGUGGGACUGAGGCUUCACCCCAGGGAAUUCUUAGAGCGCCCCUGCUGCCCGGCAGGUGCACCUACCCCAGGGAGAUGGUUCAACAUCUGGGCUUCCCUGUCGGGGAGGGUGGCUUCUCCUGGGUGGCCGGGUUAGCCCUGCUUGGAAUGGUUAACCCAAAUCUCACUCAUCCCUUUCUUCCUCUUCCUAUCCUUUCCUUCCUGUUGACAGGAAGCCCUUCCCCACCAGCUCGUGCCUUGUCACCAACCCAUCAGAUACCCUCUGGGCUGUGGGGCUUGUGCCAGGGCCUCUGUGUCCUGAUCUCCUCUGACCUGGCAGCGAAGUUGCCAAUGAGUGUACGGCAAAGACCAGUUUGCUCUUGAUAACCCUGGGAGUCCAGCCUCUUUUCCAUGAGGCCGACAUGUUCCCAGCUGUGGGAGCCAUGCUGCCCUGCCAGCCUCCUGCGGGGGCCUGGCAGGAACUCUGUGCAGAGCCCAGAGCAGGUGGCCUCUGACUGACCCCUCCUGGAGCUGGGGGGAUGGAGGAAGCACAUGCCAGGGCUGAAAGUUGCAGGAACUGGGGCACCAGCGUUUCUGUUGGUAAAGAAAUGGGGAGCGAAGUUGCUAGGACCACGCUUACAGUUGGGUAUCAUUCGAAGGGCGUUUUUCCCAUGUUGACCUGUCAGUGCACCUGUGUCUCUUUCUCAGGUGCUGUGCUGGGUGUUGGGGAUACAAAGCCGAACAGGGUUGCGGGCUGAAAUGUGUCCCCUAAAGCUCGGUUGAAGCCCUAGCCUCUGGUACCCGUGAAUAUGACCUCAUUUAGUCGCAGGGGCUUUGCAGAUGGAACAGCCGAGUGAAGAUGGGGCCAGGCUGGGCCCCUAAUCCAAUAUGACUGGCCUCCUUAUGACAAGGGAGAUUUGGAUUCAGAGACUCUGAAGGAAGAGCUUGUGAAGACAAAGGCAGAGAUUAGAGAGAAGCUGCCACAAGCCAAGGAGCCCUGGGGCUACUGGAGGCUCAGAGGGACAAGGAGGGCCCUCCUCGCUUUCAGGCUUCAUCCUCCAGCACGGCAGGAGAGGUUCUGUAGAUUUAAAUACACGCUGCUUGUGACACUGUGUUGUGGCCAGCCCGGGGGCCCUGCAUUCACAGCACAGCAGGGACAAUGGUCGUUCUGCUGUCAUCCGCCGGCCCCGUUCUUGUCCGUAGGAUAGCAUGUAACGAGCAUCCCCAGCGCUUUCCUCUUCCGAGCAAUUCAGACGCUUCUCGAUGGAUGGUUUUGCUCAUGGUGCCUAUGGCUGGUCAAUAGUGUGGAUGAAUAGUGUGGUUUCCGUCAUGGCCCAGUGGUUAACAAGCCCGACUAGGAACCGUAAGGUUGCAGGUUCAAUCCCUGGCCUCGCUCAGUAGAUUAAGGAUCCGGUGUUGCUGUGAGCUGUGGUGUAAGUCGCAGAUGCAACUUGGAUCUGGUGUUGCUGUGGCUGUGGCGUAGGUCGGCAGCUGUAGCUCCGAUUCGACCCUUUACCUGGGAACCUCCGUAUGCGGAAGAUGAAGCCCCAAAAAGAUACAUGGACCAAAAAAAAAAAAAAA